AGACCUGUGAGGAUUCUGCAGGAGGCUCACUUGGCAGUAUUUUAAAUAAGCUGCAGCAUCUUUGAUAAAUUGGCUGUCUUUGGCUGUCAGUUUAUCAUCAGCUUAUCAUCUUAGCUGUCAGGAUGGGUGGCUGCUGGUCAUGGAUGAACUGUAGGUCUCACCCAGAGGCAGAACCAAAGAAAGAAGAUGAAGAUGAAGAGGGGGCACAGACUGGUCAUCCCAGAAAUCUGGCCCAUGUUGCCCCGUGUCCUGGGGGACCCAGGUUGCACCAUUUUCUGGGGGACCCUCUGAGGGAAGAGCCCAAUGAGGCAACCUUGGUGCCAGGACCCCUUCCAGGACUUCAUGUCCCCACUGACAUUCUGGGGAAAGAGCUCAACGAGGAAACCUCAGUGCUAGGAUCCCUUCCAGAACCUCACGUCCCCACAGAUAUUCUGGAGGAAGAGCUCAAUGAGGAAACGUCGGUGCCAGGAUCCCUUCCAGAACCUCAUGUCCCCACUGAUAUUCUGGAGCAAGAGUUCAAUGAGGAAAUGUUGGUGCCAAGAUCCCUUCCAGGACCUUUCAUCACCAAUGACAUUCUGGGGGAAGAGACCAAUGAGGCAACCUUGGUGCCAGGACCCCUUCCAAUACUUUGUGUCCCCACUGACAUUCUGGGGAAAGAGGUCAAUGAGGACACCUCAAAGCCAGGACCUCUUCCAGGACGUCACAUCACCAAUGGUAUUCUGAAAGAAGAGCUCAACGAGGCAACCUCAGUGCCAGGAUCCCUUUCAGGACCUCACAUUUCCACUGAUAUUCUCGAGGAAACGCUCAAUGAGGAAACCUCGGUGCCAGGAUCCCUUCUAGGACCUCACAUUACCAAUGACAUUCUGGGGGAAGAGGUCAAUGAGGAAACCUCAGUGCCAGGUCCUUCCAUCCCCACUGGCACUCCAAAGGAAGCAGCUUUUGUGUCAGAGCCCUUACCAGAGCCUUCCAUUGCUGACAAUUACCUUGAGCAAGAAGUAGAAAUCCUCAAAGGAUUACAGAAUGACUAUGUCCAGCGGCAAAUGAGGGUUCGCCGCAUUUCCAAGCAGUUCCCUCGUUCUCUCCGGGCCAUCAACCUGCAAAUCGGACACACACGGACAAGGCUCAUCCACAGUGAAGUGCGGCUGCAGCGGUGGGGAAAGGAAGGUGACCAAGCUCUGAUGCCUGUAAUUCAGACAGCUUCUCAUGAUAUUCCUGAAGGCCCUGCUGCAUGUCUCCGCCCCCCUGGGUCUGGUUCAUCAUUAUCUUCUGCCUCGCUGGAAGUUGGCUCCAUCCCACCCUCCGCCUCCACCUCUUCUUUCCUCCUGCAUCCCUCUCCCCCUCCUCCUCCUUCCCCACCUCCUCUAGAGCCGGACCUUAGCAAUGUAAAAGAAACGCUGCAGAGUUUGAUGGAUUUGCAGUUCCAUCAGCUGAAUGACCAUAAGUCUCACAGAGGCAGCACCCCUUUUCCAUCCUCAUUGUUGUUUUCCAAUCUAAAACACUUAUAGUCUAAAAACAGAGAUGGGCAAGCAAUAGAGGAAGGAGAGGGAAGUUGAGGUGGGACAAGCGGGGAAACGAUGUGUAUGUAUUUCAGCUGCACCUCCGUAGGACCAGAGAGACCCGGGUUUGAAUUCUCAUCCAGCCAUGAACCUCGCUGGGUUACUUUGGGCUAGUCACUUGUCCCGCAGUCUAACUUAACUCUUAGGGCUGUUGGGAGGAAAAAAUAACCAUGUAUACCUCCCUGAGCUGCUUGAGGAAGAGCAGAAUGUGAAUACUAAAUUCAUGAAUGCUGAUAAUAUGAAUGCUAAUAUCAGCCCUUUUGAAUUCAAGCUGGGCUGAAACAGGAAACCAAGGAGGAUGACAUACAAUUGUGCUUAUCACAAUCCUCCUUAUAGUGUUGUCAAUGUACAUGGGCAAAAGUUCCCGGCCACCAGGAGCAUACAGUCUAAAGUUUAGCUUUGGAGAGAGAAGUGAGGAAGAGGAGGAAAGCAUAAGGGGCAUUCAAUUCAAGCUGAUGGAGCUGCCUCUGCUGAGGCAUUAAGCCAAAAGCUGCACAGAGGAGGUGGGUUGCAUUGGAAGGAUAGGAGAGAGAUGUGGGCCCACAUGAGUGGUGGUUCCAGACCCAAGGGUCAGUGAGGGAGAAGAAAAAGAGUAGUUUUAGAGAGCAGGACUGAAGGUGGCUGAAGACAGAAGCUGGAGGAGCAAAAACCAACCAGACGGGGUGCAAGUUGGGGGAGGGGGGAGGAUCAGUGCAGAGGGACAGGGUGGGGCAUAGCCAUGGAGGGUUUUCAAGGUAGAGAUGGGAAGUCUGUGCUGGGCAUGGAAAGGGACUAGAAGUCAGUGCAGGGACUGGUAUUGUGGAGGACAGGCCCCUUGACCCUGUUUGUUUUCUUUCCUUCAAGGCCAAAGAGACCUCCGCAACUGCCAGGAAUGUUUGCAAAACCUCAAGGCACUGAGGGGACAGCUCCGGAGACUGCGGAGCAGACUGGCAAGGGUGGAAGCCACUAUGGGGAUCCUGGUUCCUCCAAGGGAGCUGGAUGUUGAUGAGGAAAAAGAGGAAGACAAAAACCAGACAGUGCUUCAUACAUAGGCCAUUUUUCUGCAAGAGGAGAGAGAAGGAAAGCCUGAAUUGGAACACUUGUCACUGCAGAAGACUUGCCAAAUAACCAGGAACAAACACUGCAGAGGUAGAGCGGGAACUGACUGCACAUUUUGCUUCUUGUCCAUUUCAUCCAGCCUGCAUUAGAAUGCACAGGCUUAGUCCAUCCAAACUGCCAGCAGCAGCAAGCAAACAGAAAGCAUUUGUAAUUAUGCUUCCACUGGAGUUUACUGCAUUCCACCCCUGACUUUCUCUAUAGUUGUGCCCUCUGGCGCAGAAUUUUUGAAAUGGAACACUGGCAUCCCUAUUCCCAAAAUUUUUACACUGUCAAAGCAACAUUAUUGGGAAAUGCAUGGACACUGCCAACUUGUCCCCCCUUCAUUACUUCAGUUAUGGAUAUUACUGCAUCAGCACUGCCUUCCUCCUACAAGUGGCAGACAAUAAAGCAGAGCAUGGAGAGAUUCUGACAUGAGGAUGUCACAAAAUUUCUCUCUCCCUCCCAUUGACACAUCAUCUCAAAGACAAAUGAGGAAGAAAGAGACAGGCCUAUGGUUCUUAUGUGUUAGGGCUGUGCAGUGAUGUAGUUGCAAAUUCAGAAGUGCAGGUGCUCUCCAGGACAGCCCCUAGCCACACCCACCAUGAUAGCCACACCCACCCCAAUGGCCAAAGCUCUCAGAUAGAUGAAAUAAUUGGGAGGGGUCUGUAACAAGGAGUCAAGCAUCAUGUAGACUCUAGGGAAUGUACUAGAAUGAAUGACAGGGAAUGCCCACUGAAAUGCACUGGUUUCUUCCAAAUGGCCAUCAGAAUGCAUGGAAUUUCUGAAUGGCUGUUGCAUUCAGAAAUUCAAUGCACACCAUGGCUAUUUGCAAGCGACCAGAGCAUUUCAGUGGGCAUUUCCUGUCAUUCAUUUUAGGAUGUCCUGACACUAGUCUGCCUUGCAUGCUGAUUUGUAUGCUGACAGACCCAUGUUAAAUACCUUGCAGCAUCUCCAGGAACGGCUGGGAAAGAGUCCUUUCUGAAAUCACAGAGACCUGCAACCAGUCAGUGUAGACCAGGGGUGGGGAGC